GACGAACGCUGGCGGCGUGCCUAAUACAUGCAAGUAGAACGCUGAAGAGAGGAGCUUGCUCUUCUUGGAUGAGUUGCGAACGGGUGAGUAACGCGUAGGUAACCUGCCUUGUAGCGGGGGAUAACUAUUGGAAACGAUAGCUAAUACCGCAUAACAAUGGAUGACACAUGUCAUUUAUUUGAAAGGGGCAAUUGCUCCACUACAAGAUGGACCUGCGUUGUAUUAGCUAGUAGGUGAGGUAACGGCUCACCUAGGCGACGAUACAUAGCCGACCUGAGAGGGUGAUCGGCCACACUGGGACUGAGACACGGCCCAGACUCCUACGGGAGGCAGCAGUAGGGAAUCUUCGGCAAUGGGGGCAACCCUGACCGAGCAACGCCGCGUGAGUGAAGAAGGUUUUCGGAUCGUAAAGCUCUGUUGUAAGUCAAGAACGAGUGUGAGAGUGGAAAGUUCACACUGUGACGGUAGCUUACCAGAAAGGGACGGCUAACUACGUGCCAGCAGCCGCGGUAAUACGUAGGUCCCGAGCGUUGUCCGGAUUUAUUGGGCGUAAAGCGAGCGCAGGCGGUUUGAUAAGUCUGAAGUUAAAGGCUGUGGCUCAACCAUAGUUCGCUUUGGAAACUGUCAAACUUGAGUGCAGAAGGGGAGAGUGGAAUUCCAUGUGUAGCGGUGAAAUGCGUAGAUAUAUGGAGGAACACCGGUGGCAAAAGCGGCUCUCUGGUCUGUAACUGACGCUGAGGCUCGAAAGCGUGGGGAGCGAACAGGAUUAGAUACCCUGGUAGUCCACGCCGUAAACGAUGAGUGCUAGGUGUUGGAUCCUUUCCGGGAUUCAGUGCCGCAGCUAACGCAUUAAGCACUCCGCCUGGGGAGUACGACCGCAAGGUUGAAACUCAAAGGAAUUGACGGGGGCCCGCACAAGCGGUGGAGCAUGUGGUUUAAUUCGAAGCAACGCGAAGAACCUUACCAGGUCUUGACAUCCCGAUGCUAUUUCUAGAGAUAGAAAGUUACUUCGGUACAUCGGUGACAGGUGGUGCAUGGUUGUCGUCAGCUCGUGUCGUGAGAUGUUGGGUUAAGUCCCGCAACGAGCGCAACCCCUAUUGUUAGUUGCCAUCAUUCAGUUGGGCACUCUAGCGAGACUGCCGGUAAUAAACCGGAGGAAGGUGGGGAUGACGUCAAAUCAUCAUGCCCCUUAUGACCUGGGCUACACACGUGCUACAAUGGUUGGUACAACGAGUUGCGAGUCGGUGACGGCAAGCUAAUCUCUUAAAGCCAAUCUCAGUUCGGAUUGUAGGCUGCAACUCGCCUACAUGAAGUCGGAAUCGCUAGUAAUCGCGGAUCAGCACGCCGCGGUGAAUACGUUCCCGGGCCU
rnacentral:rRNA from 1 species